rnacentral:rRNA from 1 species
GGACCCGCACAAGCGGUGGAUGAUGUGGUUUAAUUCGAUGCAACGCGAAAAACCUUACCUACCCUUGACAUGUCUAGAAGUUUCCAGAGAUGGAUUCGUGCUCGAAAGAGAACUAGAACACAGGUGCUGCAUGGCCGUCGUCAGCUCGUGUCGUGAGAUGUUGGGUUAAGUCCCGCAACGAGCGCAACCCUUAUCAUUAGUUGCUACGCAAGGGCACUCUAAUGAGACUGCCGGUGACAAACCGGAGGAAGGUGGGGAUGACGUCAGGUCAUCAUGGCCCUUAUGGGUAGGGCUACACACGUCAUACAAUGGCCGGUACAGAGGGCUGCCAACUCGCGAGAGGGAGCUAAUCUCAGAAAACCGGUCGUAGUCCGGAUCGCAGUCUGCAACUCGACUGCGUGAAGUCGGAAUCGCUAGUAAUCGCGGAUCAGCUUGCCGCGGUGAAUACGUUCCCGGGUCUUGUACACACCGCCCGUCACACCAUGGGAGCGGGUUCUGCCAGAAGUAGUUAGCCUAACCGCAAGGGGGGCGAUUACCACGGCAGGGUUCGUGACUGGGGUGAAGUCGUAACAAGGUAGCCGUAUCGGAAGGUGCGGCU